CCGCCAUCUCUGCAGCAAUGAAUCUCCUCUAUGUUGUGCCCUUGCACAACAUGGAGGAGCUAAACAAUGCAGAGGCAGCUCUGCAAUCACCAGAGGCAAAUAAGGCAAUGGUGAGACGCUUUGCGUUGAUUGGAGGGACCACACUGGAGGUGCGAGUCCGCCGUGUAAUGGCUUAUGCCAUUACAAACAAGCUGGCCUCUGUACUCAACUGGGCAGGGAAAAAAAACAAGGACUAGACAAAGCAAAAAAGGGCAUUUAAAGAGACAGCGCUGUGCAGAUGCAUAUUUGAUGGCCUGACGCAGCAGGUAGGGGCGAACUAUGUCUGAGUUUGUCUUUGCUCAAGCAGUCCAGAAAUGGCUCAGAUACGCUCCAUAUCGUGUGGGUG